UACGUAGGGAGCAAGCGUUGUCCGGAAUCAUUGGGCGUAAAGCGCGCGUAGGUGGCCCUGUAAGUCCGCUCUGAAAGUCGAAGGCUCAACCUUCGAAAGCGGGUGGAUACUGCAGGGCUAGAGUCCGGAAGAGGCGAGUGGAAUUCCUGGUGUAGCGGUGGAAUGCGCAGAUAUCAGGAGGAACACCAACGGCGAAGGCAGCUCGCUGGGACGGUACUGACACUGAGGCGCGAAAGCGUGGGGGAGCGAACAGG
rnacentral:rRNA from 1 species